rnacentral:tRNA from 1 species
GGGGAUUUGGCUUAGCGGCGUAAGCACCUGCCUUGCAAGCAGGUAGUCGUGAGUUCGAUCCCUG